rnacentral:rRNA from 1 species
CAGUCGAGCGGUAACAGGGGGUGCUUGCACCCCGCUGACGAGCGGCGGACGGUAUGAGUAAUGCAUAGGAAAUUGCCCAGUAGUGGGGGAUAGCCCGGGGAAACCCGGAUUAAUACCGCAUACGUCCUUCGGGAGAAAGCAGGGGAUCUUCGGACCUUGCGCUAUUGGAUGUGCCUAUGUCGGAUUAGCUAGUUGGUGGGGUAAAGGCCUACCAAGGCGACGAUCCGUAGCUGGUCUGAGAGGAUGAUCAGCCACAUCGGGACUGAGACACGGCCCGAACUCCUACGGGAGGCAGCAGUGGGGAAUAUUGGACAAUGGGGGCAACCCUGAUCCAGCCAUGCCGCGUGUGUGAAGAAGGCUUUCGGGUUGUAAAGCACUUUCANUGAGGAGGAAAACCUUAUGGUUAAUACCCAUGAGGCUUGACGUUACUCACAGAAGAAGCACCGGCUAACUCCGUGCCAGCAGCCGCGGUAAUACGGAGGGUGCAAGCGUUAAUCGGAAUUACUGGGC